rnacentral:misc_RNA from 1 species
UUAGGUGCCAACUGGUAUCAGUCUUUCUCAUGUUUGUUUCUCUCUUUACCUGACUGUACAAAAUUGCUACUAAAUAUGUGUUGAUAUCAUUGUCACAUUACCUACGUUUCACCCAUGUCUAAGUGCUUGUCUUAUAAUUUAAUUUCACAGAAAGCGUUCUAGGUUUAGUCUUGUUAUUUCUUGGUCUUGCCAUCUUCCUCCUGUGGCUUCUUUAAGGUGUAUGUUUGUUUCUUCUGCGCCUUCGUGAUCGUCAACAAUGUGUUGAAGUUUGAUUGGAAUGAUGGCACAAUAGUGGACAUGUUUCUUUGAGCUGUUCUGCUGCCUGUUCAACAUCUGUUUCUUUCUAGAAGAAACUUGUUUUGUUUUUCCAAUAGUAAUUAUAAUGACCUUUUUGCUUAUCACUCCCUAUGUAGUUGGUGUCUGGUGAUGUUAUAGUAUUUUAUGAUAGUUGCAGGUUAUAAAGUUGUUGAUUUGUAUUGUGAUAUAGCCUUUUCCCUCUAGGUUUGGCUGUCUUUAUGGCCUUCUUCUUGUAUAUUUCAUGCUUGUUCUAGGGUCAUGGGGCUUGGGUAAACUCUCUGGCUUUGAGCACUGAAUAUGUUCUUCGACUGGAGCUUUUGACCAUACUGGC